ACUCCUACGGGAGGCAGCAGUAGGGAAUCUUCGGCAAUGGACGAAAGUCUGACCGAGCAACGCCGCGUGAGUGAAGAAGGUUUUCGGAUCGUAAGACUCUGUUGGUAGAGAAGAACGUUGGUGAGAGUGGAAAGCUCAUCAAGUGACGGUAACUACCCAGAAAGGGACGGCUAACUACGUGCCAGCAGCCGCGGUAAUACGUAGGUCCCGAGCGUUGUCCGGAUUUAUUGGGCGUAAAGCGAGCGCAGGUGGUUUAUUAAGUCUGGUGUAAAAGGCAGUGGCUCAACCAUUGUAUGCAUUGGAAACUGGUAGACUUGAGUGCAGGAGAGGAGAGUGGAAUUCCAUGUGUAGCGGUGAAGUGCGUAGAUAUAUGGAGGAACACCGGUGGCGAAAGCGGCUCUCUGGCCUGUAACUGACACUGAGGCUCGAAAGCGUGGGGAGCAAACAGGAUUAGAUACCCUGGUGGUCCACGCCGUAAACGAUGAGUGCUAGAUGUAGGGAGCUAUAAGUUCUCUGUAUCGCAGCUAACGCAAUAAGCACUCCGCCUGGGGAGUACGACCGCAAGGUUGAAACUCAAAGGAAUUGACGGGGGCCCGCACAAG
rnacentral:rRNA from 1 species